GGGGUUGUAGCUCAGUGACGGGUAGAGCACUUGCCUAGCAUGCAUGAGGCACUGGGUUUGAUCCUCAGCACCA
rnacentral:tRNA from 1 species